rnacentral:rRNA from 1 species
UAAUACGAAGGGGGCUAGCGUUGCUCGGAAUUACUGGGCGUAAAGGGCGCGUAGGCGGACAGUUUAGUCAGAGGUGAAAGCCCAGGGCUCAACCUUGGAAUUGCCUUUGAUACUGGCUGUCUUGAGUUCGGAAGAGGUAAGUGGAAUGCCGAGUGUAGAGGUGAAAUUCGUAGAUAUUCGGCGGAACACCAGUGGCGAAGGCGACUUACUGGUCCGAUACUGACGCUGAGGCGCGAAAGCGUGGGGAGCAAACAGGAUUAGAUACCCUGGUAGUCCACGCUGUAAACGAUGAGAGCUAGUUGUCGGUGUGCAUGCACAUCGGUGACGCAGCUAACGCAUUAAGCUCUCCGCCUGGGGAGUACGGUCGCAAGAUUAAA